rfam:Triticum aestivum genome assembly, contig: Triticum_aestivum_CS42_TGACv1_scaffold_640839_T_6DL-0.194302_7DS-0.131771
UAUGUACUCUCUCCGUCCCGAAAUAUUUGUCAUCAAAAUAAAUAAAAGAGGAUGUAUCUAGAUGUAUUUUAAUUCUACAUAUACCUCUUUUUUGUCCAUUUUGAUGACAAGGUUUUUCGGACGGAGGGAAUUGUUU